rnacentral:rRNA from 1 species
GACGAACGCUGGCGGCGUGCUUAACACAUGCAAUUCAAACGGAAAGGCCCUUCGGGGUACUCGAGUGGCGAACGGGUGAGUAACACGUGGGUGAUCUGCCCUGCACUUUGGGAUAAGCCUGGGAAACUGGGUCUAAUACCGAAUACACCUCUCCGGCUGCAUGGUUGGUGGGGGAAAGCUUUUGCGGUGUGGGAUGGGCCCGCGGCCUAUCAGCUUGUUGGUGAGGUUACGGCUCACCAAGGCGACGACGGGUAGCCGGCCUGAGAGGGUGACCGGCCACACUGGGACUGAGAUACGGCCCAGACUCCUACGGGAGGCAGCAGUGGGGAAUAUUGCACAAUGGGCGCAAGCCUGAUGCAGCGACGCCGCGUGGGGGAUGACGGCCUUCGGGUUGUAAACUCCUUUCAGCACAGACGAAGCGCAAGUGACGGUAUGUGCAGAAGAAGGACCGGCCAACUACGUGCCAGCAGCCGCGGUAAUACGUAGGGUCCGAGCGUUGUCCGGAAUUACUGGGCGUAAAGAGCUCGUAGGUGGUUUGUCGCGUUGUUCGUGAAAACUCACAGCUUAACUGUGGGCGUGCGGGCGAUACGGGCAGACUUGAGUACUGCAGGGGAGACUGGAAUUCCUGGUGUAGCGGUGGAAUGCGCAGAUAUCAGGAGGAACACCGGUGGCGAAGGCGGGUCUCUGGGCAGUAACUGACGCUGAGGAGCGAAAGCGUGGGGAGCGAACAGGAUUAGAUACCCUGGUAGUCCACGCCGUAAACGGUGGGUACUAGGUGUGGGUUUCCUUCCUUGGGAUCCGUGCCGUAGCUAACGCAUUAAGUACCCCGCCUGGGGAGUACGGCCGCAAGGCUAAAACUCAAAGAAAUUGACGGGGGCCCGCACAAGCGGCGGAGCAUGUGGAUUAAUUCGAUGCAACGCGAAGAACCUUACCUGGGUUUGACAUGCACAGGACGCUGGUAGAGAUAUCAGUUCCCUUGUGGCCUGUGUGCAGGUGGUGCAUGGCUG